rnacentral:sRNA from 1 species
UGCCGGGGAGUGAAAGUCGAGCGAAUCGAUGGGAGCUUGCUCCCUGAGAUUUUUUCCGGACGGGUGAGUAACACGUGGGUAACCUACCUGUAAGACUGGGAUAACUUCGGGAAACCGGAGCUAAUACCGGAUACUUUCUUUUCUCGCAUGAGAAGAGAUGGAAAGAUGGUUCUGCUAUCACUUACAGAUGGACCCGCGGCGCAUUAGCUAGUUGGUGAGGUAACGGCUCACCAAGGCGACGAUGCGUAGCCGACCUGAGAGGGUGAUCGGCCACACUGGGACUGAGACACGGCCCAGACUC